rnacentral:rRNA from 1 species
CUCCUGGAAACGGGUGGUAAUGCCGGAUGUUCCACAUGAGCGCAUGCGAGUGUGGGAAAGGCUUUUUGCGGCAUGGGAUGGGGUCGCGCCCUAUCAGCUUGUUGGUGGGGUAACGGCCUACCAAGGCGUUGACGGGUAGCCGGCCUGAGAGGGCGACCGGCCACAUUGGGACUGAGAUACGGCCCAGACUCCUACGGGAGGCAGCAGUGGGGAAUAUUGCACAAUGGGCGCAAGCCUGAUGCAGCGACGCCGCGUGCGGGAUGGAGGCCUUCGGGUUGUAAACCGCUUUUGUUCAAGGGCAAGGCACGGUUUCGGCCGUGUUGAGUGGAUUGUUCGAAUAAGCACCGGCUAACUACGUGCCAGCAGCCGCGGUAAUACGUAGGGUGCAAGCGUUAUCCGGAUUUAUUGGGCGUAAAGGGCUCGUAGGCGGUUCGUCGCGUCUGGUGUGAAAGUCCAUCGCUUAACGGUGGAUCCGCGCCGGGUACGGGCGGGCUUGAGUGCGGUAGGGGAGACUGGAAUUCCCGGUGUAACGGUGGAAUGUGUAGAUAUCGGGAAGAACACC